rnacentral:rRNA from 1 species
GACGAACGCUGGCGGCGUGCUUAACACAUGCAAGUCGAACGGAAAGGCCCUGCUUUUGUGGGGUGCUCGAGUGGCGAACGGGUGAGUAACACGUGAGUAACCUGCCCUUGACUUUGGGAUAACUUCAGGAAACUGGGGCUAAUACCGGAGAGGAGCUCCUGCUGCAUGGUGGGGGUUGGAAAGUUUCGGCGGUUGGGGAUGGACUCGCGGCUUAUCAGCUUGUUGGUGGGGUAGUGGCUGACCAAGGCUUUGACGGGUAGCCGGCCUGAGAGGGUGAACGGCCACAUUGGGCCUGAGAUACGGACCAGACUGCUACGGGAGGCAGUAGUGGGGAAUAUUGCACAAUGGGCGGACGCCUGAUGCAGCAACGCUGCGUGCGGGAUGACGGCUUUCGGGUUGUAAACCGAUUUCGAAUUUGCCGAAGCGUGAGUGACGGUACUGGGUCAAGAAGCACCGGCUAACUACGUG